rnacentral:lncRNA from 1 species
CCAACCUUCAAUGAAAAAAGAUUCAGCAAAUUAGUAAUUUGGUUGGAAGAAAUGGCAAAAGCAGAAAAAGACUGUUUGGCCUGCCAAAUUUUGUCUAGUCAAUCUUAUUUCUCUCUGAUGUACUGUAUUAUACAGUAUGAAUUAAAAAAUUUACUAUUACUGUAUUAACUUUUGGAGACAACCUAAAUUCCGAAAAUUAUUUUAAAAAAACAUGAAAAUCUGAGAUCUGGAACAUUACACAUCACCAUCCAUCUCACCAUGCUUCAAAUUAAUGAUGAACGAAAGGGAAUUAAUACCAACAAGUGCAAAGCAUAUUGGAUUAGCAGCCUAGCCCUCAGACCUUGUUUGGGCAAAGAUUUUGCUUCCUGUUCUGUAAUUCAAUGUGAUGACAGAAAAGCCAAUGAAUGCAAUCCCACCUCUGCCUACUUACCGGAGUGAUAACCACUUAGCUGCAAGUUUUGCGUCGAUGGCAGCGUGGCAUCCAAUAUGUGGGCUUCAUCUACUCAAUCUGUUUUGCCAUGCCGUAAAGUGCAUCUCCAGUGCAAUGCCUCAUCAAGUGUAACGGCUUCGAUGUCCAUCGGCAUGCAACAUUUCAGCUUUCAUUAUCACCCGGAAGAGCUGUCAGUUGCCUUUCCACCACCCACAUAAAGGUAUGCGUCAGAAGAACGUGUUGCUUGCUCACUUGGAACAAGAUUGCCCGUCGGAAUGUUGAAGUUGUAGAGAGAGGGAGAGAGAGAAAGCAGGUCUUCAGCAGUUUCAGAACAGGAACAAUUUGUGGUGUUAAUGGCCAUAGCAUAUGCUUGAAGCAAAGGAAGCCAUGUCCACCGACCCUCAAAUGUGCUGCUAAUCCUCUCAACACAUCUACUUUUCGAUUCCAUCAAACCAUGUAUCCCGGUGAUUCGUGGAUCGACAACCCGAAGGAAUGGCCGAACGUGCAAUACCCGGACGGAUACACGUGUCUAGUCAAGACACCAGGAGUGUUUACACAUGAAGCAAUGAAAAACUACCGUUCACUGGAAGUCCACAAAUGUUUUGUCUCUGGUUGGGAGCAGACUGUGCUACACAAAAAUGUUGGAGGUAACCAUGUUAGAGCCUCUAAUAUUUGUUUGAUCAACCAUCAAACUCUAACAUUUG